UUGUUCCUAGUUGCCAGCGGUUCGGCCGGGCACUCUAGGGAGACUGCCGGUGACAAACCGGAGGAAGGUGGGGAUGACGUCAAGUCCUCAUGGCCUUUAUGUCCAGGGCUACACACGUGCUACAAUGGCGCGUACAGAGGGAAGCCAAGCCGCGAGGUGGAGCAGACCCCAGAAAGCGCGUCGUAGUUCGGAUUGCAGUCUGCAACUCGACUGCAUGAAGUCGGAAUCGCUAGUAAUCGCGGAUCAGCAUGCCGCGGUGAA
rnacentral:rRNA from 1 species